CCACAUCCGCAUUUCCACACGUCUGGUAGAUGAAUGCCGCUGAAUAUUCCAUCCGAGUCUCAUCCGCAGGCUCAACUUUUUAACAUUCCCUCACCUUUGAGUAAAUAUGUCCUUUCCCUUGCCUUUCCAAUGUCUGUGAACAGCAGAAAUGGUUGUGCAUCAUUGUCUGUGGCCUCUACGCAUCAAAUGCCCUUCUCAUGUCUGCAAGUGCCAUCCCACCUCAGGAGACUUCCCUGGUCUUGCAGCUCUGAUGAAGGCUUGACCUAGGUCAUUCCCAUCAGUUGAACUGGGCAAGAUUUCCACUUAGAGGACACUAAUGGACCAGAGGAGGUACCGUUCAGAACUCACUUUCUGGCAAAUGUGGCAGUUGAAUGCUUUCUGCCUACAGGAAGCCAUGGUAGAGGUUCUGGCUUCCGCUGCCUGGUUGGGAGGUAUGAAUUAUGUCUCUUCUCCAUGGCAACAGAUGGGGCCUUGCAGUCGGCUCUGCACUGCUCCUACUACCAAGUCUGCAAACCUGACUCUCUGGGCAUUCUGCAGUGUUGAUGAGGUAGGUAGAUAGAGUUAAUAGCUUAAUCCAGAUAGUAAAGACUCUCAUACUUGUAAUUAAAAACAUCGACUGACUGAAGGUAUGCAGGAAAAAUAUAUUAACAUUUUCUUCAAUUCUAAGUAAUUGCAAGAUCCGAGUCCUAUUGCACUGCCACAUCUAUGUGCAAAAUGACCCGAGAACUUGUCUUCUUCUUUCUAUCCCAAUGUCACUAUCAUAGGGAGGCUCAGAAAAUAGCUGAAAGGGAGCUUUCUAUAUGUCAGAACAGCCUGAGCUUUUUAUAUGUAACAGCUAAUUUAAUCUUGACAGGAACUCUGUGACGGAGGUACCAGUCUUAACUCCAGGCAGCAGAUGAGAGGAGUGGGGUCUUGAAGAGAUUUCACACAACUUGCUAGAUUCUUGCAGACCUGGGGCUGGAGCAGAUUUUUAAAAUUUUAAAUCCAGGGUGGAGCAUGUACAGGGCUGCUUAACCCUUCCUUCAAACAGACUGAUGUUUGUCAAAUAUUCCCAUCCUGUCACCCAUGUCACACUCCUGCUUGAUACCUUCAAUGACUUGUUAGUGCCUUUGGAUAAAGACCACACCUGUGGCCACCACUGAAGGUCCUCAAGGGUCUGGCCACACUAUCUCCAUUUCAUCCUUUGCCUUAUGUCCCUUCUGUGUGGCCACAAAAGUAAAAAGAUCAGGCCAUUCUGCCCUUCACAGGGGCAUCCCGUGUUUCCCCACCUCUGGGGACUGACUUCCUUGGGUCUCUACACCCACAGGAGCUCCCCAGCUUUUGUUUAUUGAACAACAUCUACCUUGUGUCAAGUUUGCCUCAGGCGCCAGGCUCCGGGGGAACAGGACACCAACCAUCCCCUCCAAGCCACCUGUUAACCCCAGGAAACAGGCCUCCACUCAGGAAAAUGGAGUCUCCAACAGGAAUUCUGCGUUCAGCGAUGGUCUUCUAGGCACAGCUGUCUUCGUUCAUUCCACAGAUAUUUCCUAAGUGUUUUAGUUAACUUUUUCAUUGCUGGGACCUAAAGAUCUGACAAGAACAAUACAGAGGAGGAACAGUUCAUUUUGACUCAUGGUUUCCAAGGUUCAGUCUGUGGUUGGUCGACUCCAUAGCUCUGGGCCCAAGGUAAGGCAGAGCAUCAUGGCAGAAGGGUGUGGUACAGGGCGGCAGCUCAGGACAUGGCCACCAGAAACAGAGAGAGAGAAAGCGAGAGGGGUGGUGGACACACACACACACACACACACAGAGGAGGGGAUUGAGAGAGGGGGCUGGGAGGGAGCUUGGCUCACCAGGGACAAAAUAUAAACCCGACAGGCAUGUCCCUGGUGACCUGUCUUCUCCAUCACACUGUACCUGCCUGCAGUUACCCCCCAGGUCUUUAUCAGUGAGUCCAGUGAUCAGGUUACAACUCUAUGAUUGUAAUCAGUUUUCCUCCGAGCCUUCCUGCAUUGCUCACACGUGAACUUUUGGAGGCCACCUCAUAUCCAAACUGUAACGCUCAGCAGCGCCUCUGUGCCAGGCGUGGACCUUGACGCUGGAGACUCAGCAAGAAGCACACAGGUGCAGCCUCUGUCCUCA
rnacentral:lncRNA from 1 species